rnacentral:misc_RNA from 1 species
AAGUCGUAACAAGGUUUCCGUAGGUGAACCUGCGGAAGGAUCAUUAUCGAGUUUUGAAAGGGGUUGUAGCUGGCCUUCUUUGGCACCGUGCACGCCCUGCUCAUCCACUCUACACCUGUGCACUCACUGUAGGUUUCAAAGGUGACGCGAGUUUCGGCUCGUGGAGCUUUUGGGCUUACGUUUCACUAUAAACGCUUUAGUAUCAGAAUGUGUAUCGCGAUGUAACGCAUCUAUAUACAACUUUCAGCAACGGAUCUCUUGGCUCUC